rnacentral:lncRNA from 1 species
CCCUUUUGGUUGUUUCAUGUGGGAGAGUAAAUCUGCUCCCUGGGUGAAAGAGGAAACCCUACCAUUUCCAUUUAAAUCCACUAUAAUUAUAUCCAUUUAGUUGACAGAUUAUCUAGCCUCUUGCCAUUAUCUACAGUCAAUUGAAUGCUGUAGCUUAUUUGCAUCUAGCUUUUGUAUGAACCUCUAGAAGUUACUUCAGAAAUUAUUAAUGUGAUUUGGAAGGUAUUUUAUUUUCAUAAGGUCUUUGUUUCUUUUUUUACAGCAUAGCUGAUGCUUCUGUUUUAAUAGGUUCCUCCCUUACAUUUGUUACAUAUGUGUCAACCAGGCUAAUUGUUUACAGCACCUGAGCUUUUAAGUUCUUAUUGAUUUUUUUUCAUCGCUUAAAUUAGAAUUGUAUGUAUGAAACCAUUUAUUUGAUUAAGUGUGUAAUAGUUGAUGUCCUUAUUUAAUAGACAAAAAUAUCUGGGGGGAUUAGGAGACCAAUAUUUAUGAAUCAUAUGUAAUAUGACAAUAAAUAUCAUAAACAUAACCAAAAUUAAUAUUAAUUACGGACCUGUUUUUGGCCAAGUACUGAGCUGAGUUCCCCCCACCACAUUAUCUUAAUUAUCUUCUACUCCAUUUUUCCAGGCAGGGAGAUUGAGUUUCAUAAAGUUUAAAUAAUUGCUAAGAGUCAUUUGGCCUGUAUCUAGGGUUUCAACUCGAGUUACCUAAUUCCAAAGUACAAAUUCUUGCUCUUCUGACAAACUGGCCCAGGAAGAAAUCAAUUUGUUGCUGAUCACUAGACUUUCCACAUGUAGUUACUAAUGUGCCCAACUACAGAAAGACACAUUAAAAUCAUCUCAAAAGCAAGUGAAAUAUCAAAAUCCUUUGAGGUAGACUUUUUAUCAAUGCCCUUCUCUCAACCUAAAAUCCUUUAAGGAGCACAUUAUUUAGUGACUACAAAUAAUAAAGGCCAUGAAUGAGUUGGGACUCAUUUCUACUUAGAAAAAGGUUUAUUUGGAUUAUCUAGAGUCAGCCCCCAAAUAAAUACCAUGUGAUUUAAAUAUCUAAGCAUAGGAGUUCCCAUUGUGGCUUAGAGGAAACGAAUCUGAGUAGCAUCCAUAAGGAUGCAGUUUGAUCCCUGGCCUUGCGCAGUGGGCUAAGGAUCCAGUGUUGCCAUGAGCUGUGGUGUAGGUUGCAGAUGUGGCUCGGAUCUGAUGUGGCUGUGCCUGUGGUGUAGGCCAGUGGCUACAGCUAUGAUUUGACUCCUGGCCUGGAAACCUCCAUAUGCUGUGAGUGUGGCCCUAAAAUGACAAAAACAAAACAAAACAAAACAAAAACAAUUUAAAUAGCUAAGCAUAGAAAAUAAAGUCAUAAAGUAUUAAAAUGAAAUUAGGUAACUUUUUAAAAACAUGAACUUGUGAGAUGCCUUUCUAAGAAACAAAAUCAAGAAACCAUAAAGGAAAAUAUCUGACAAAUAAGUUGUGAUUUUUAAAUUUCUAUCUGUACCAAAAAUAUUCCAAAAAUUCCCCAAAAACUCUCAAGCAACCGAACUUGGAGGAAAUGUUUAUGACAUUUGUUGAUAAUGCGUUAAUGUUCUUAAUUGAACUAUCCUCAUCAUUACUCCAUAGUUUUUCUCAGCAUUAUUUUCAAACUAAGGUCCUUGCUGUGGAGAACCUUUUCUCUCAGGCCACCAUCCCUCUGGUUAAGUCUGGGUCUAUCUUCAUUCAGAGUUCCUAGGAUCAUAAAGAGAGUUAGCUAAGUCUGUGCAGAAGCUCUGGCUCUGCCAUUUACAAGCUACACGACACUGGUCAAGUUAUGGGAUUCUCCACCUCUCAGUGUAACAACCCAGUGAGAAUAGCAACAGUACUGAGCUCACUGAUUUUUGUGAGAAUCACUUAUUGUUGACUUUGGUUUAUAGUAAAUGUUCAGUAAAUGGUGGCCAGUAAAUUUCUCCCUGUUGCAUCCUCAGUGCAAGGACAUCUGACAUAUAAAGGCACUCGGUAUUUGUUGAAUAAAUAAAUUGCUUCUACAAGUCAAUAACAAAUGGACACCCCAUAGAAAAAUAAGCAAAUGAUAUGAUAUGAAAUACACAGAAAAGGCACAUUUUUGGAAGUACAUGGAAAUGGGUUCUAUCUCAAUGAUAAUGACAUAAAUGCAGAUUAAAACAACACCAAAUUAUCUUUUUUUAAUCUUUUGGAUUGAAAAAUAUUUAAAUGACUUAUUACAUUCAAUUUACUGCAUUGAUUAUAUCCAGUGCAAGCAAGGUUGUGGGGGAUAUGUCUCUAAGGAUGUUCAUGACCUAUGUUUUGAAAUUUAAAACAUCAGAAAUAACCUAAAUGCUCAUUAGUUGAGAACCACUUUAAAAAUCGUGAUAUAUCCAUAUAAGAGAAUGAAAGAAUAGUAAUAAGGCCCAUAGUGAAUAUUCUUAAGGCUAUAUAUUUAAAGAGAGAGCAAACUCCAGACCAAUAUAAUAAUACCUAAUAUUUGUUGAACACAUGUUAGUCAAUGUGGCAAGCAAUCUACAUGAAUUAUCUUAUUUAAUCAUCUACAUAUAUAUAUAUCCUCUAUGGACUUUAUUUUCUUCAAAUGUAAAAUAAGUAGAUAGGGCCAGAUAAGCUCUAAGUUCCUUUCCAUCCUGGCUCUAAAAUACUACCUAUGCCAAGAUACAUUUUUUGAGAGCCAUCUAGCCUUGGAAAAGGCUGAGCAUGACAGUGCCUUUGGGAGUUUAACAAUCAAAUUGAUGUCUAUUUAUAUGGUUUCUACUGUGGAAACUCUGUAGUACUUGAUUCUGCUUCCCGGAAAAAGUUUACACUCUUGUUCUCAAAUAUUUAACAAAAUGAGACCACUAUUAAUUGGUGAAGAAUGACUUUCCUACAUUAAAUAAACUGGCUCCCUCUUGAAGUCUGCCUUCCAAGCAGAGUGAGCUCAGGUCCCCUAACUAGGCAGGAGACACCAACCAUAUGCUCUCCUGAGGGUCUAGCUGUAGAUGAACAACUUUUUUUCAUUGUCUCUCCACUUGCACAGAAAGGCUUACCUCACAGUAGUCCUUGGGCUGUGAUGUUGGCAAGUGCCAGCCUUCACACAGGCAGCUGGACAGUGGAGAAUGGGAGAGUGAGGCAUAAGCAACUGGGAGGCAGUUGCCUGCUCCUUACAGAUCUUCGCAUUUGGUCCACUCACCGUCCACACCAGGGAUGUGCAAAGGAGUGCCCUUAGUUCUGCCCUGUGGAGAAAAGGCAAAUUUAAGUUGUAAACAUGUGUGGAAUAGUGUGAGAAUAUAAGGAAGUGAGUAGUGAGUUCAAGAUUUUGACUCCCUGCUCAUUGUUUUAGAAAAAUGUUAUUAGAUUGUGAAAACUUAGCAAAAAAUAUUACUCUUACAAGUGCCUUAAUUUUAACUGUUUUUUUAUUAAGAAAGCAUUGGUUAUGUCCUGUCCCUGGAUUAGUAUCUGACAAGAACAAUGUGUUUAUUAGUAGAUACAGAUUCAAAGUACAACAUAAGCUCUACCUUUUGACUAUUUGAUAGUCUUUAUCAAACAAAAAACACUUAUUGGGUAAUCAUAUCCCAAACACUGCCAUUCCAGUUGUGCAAUCUGUUGAGAAUUGUCUGAGUACUAUUAGUAGCACUGGUGGAAAAAUGGCCAUCAGAGAGGCUGGAAAAAUUGGAAUCAUCUAUUCCAAGAAAGGAUGAAAGCACACUUCUGGCAUGUGUCAGGCAGCUGGAGUAUCAAUUUGGAAAUUGAUGGCUGCUUGCUCCCAAGAUCAGGGGAGUGUACCCUCUUACAUGGACUGCAGUAAUCUAUCCAAACAUGCUUUUUGAAAAUUAAAAAGAAGGAGAGGCAGGAGAGCAGAACACAAAUGUACUUUACUCUACGAGAAAUUUUUGUUUUAUACAUGAAUUAUUUAUACACCAACUCUGACUCUCACAGCAGUAUUAUGUAGAUAUUAUAUCAGUAAUCAGGUGUCUAUAUUUAUACCUGAGGCCACUUGUUCUCUUUUUGAGCUAGAGGCUGAGUAAAGCCAAUAAAAAUCACAAAAUAACACUAUUCCUAAUAGGUUUUUUCAAAGGGUAAUAGAGUAUAACAGAAUCUUUAGUGGACUAGCCCACCUAUUCCUCGUGUAAGAUAUUGGCUUUGAGAACUUCAGAACGCAGGUUGAAUAUCUGUCUAAUUCAACAAGCUUACAUCAGAGUUCCUGUUGUAUGGUAACAAACCCUGCUAGGAUCCAUGGGCAUGUGGGUUUGAUCCCUGGCCCCACUCAGUAGGUUAGGGAUCCUGUGUUUCUGUGAGCUUUGAUGUAGGUCACAGAUGAGGCUUGGAUCUGGUGUUGCUGUGGCUAUGGUGUAGGCUGACAGCUGCAGCUCCAAUUUGACCCCUAGACUGGGAACUUCUAUAUGCCGUGUAUGUGGCCCACAAAAAAUCAAACCAAAGAAAAACAAAAUAAAACAACAACAACAAAAAAUCCCACAGGCAUACCUCAAGAGAAACCUAAAUAUGUAGCUCAAAAACAAGACAGAGGUUCUAUGGGCCUCCUUAGCCUCUGACACUGGCUACGUGGAUUUUUGGCCACUACAAAAACAGAGCUUGUUGCUACUUUGAACUUACAGCCAACAAUCUGUUUCAUUCCUCACCAUCCUCCAAUGUCAGCUUCAAUGAAGGGGAUAAGAAUGCCUUGCACCCAUUUCUGUGCCCUUCUAUUCUGAGACAGGGCUAUCCCAUACUCUCUGGGGCUUUCUCCUCCUCAAGCUUUGGGGUAAACUCCAAGACAAGAAAGGGAUGAAGAGUGGUGCUAGAAAGGCAAGAGGACAAGCUUGAUGGAGCACAUGCACUAUUUCACGUAAAAUUGAUCUUUAAAAGUGUUGUGUAUCCCUGACUUCUGACUGCCUUGGGGUGAAGUCCUUCCCAUUAAUCUUCUAUUUUUGUCUGUUCCCAAUGAAACUGUUCCCAUGAAACUCCUCUUUUUCUUCUGGAAAGCCCACCUACCUCUUAGACAUGGUUAAAUCGCCCAGGUUAUCUCUGACCUGGGCUCUUCCACUGGGAUCUCAGACAAACAGUAAGAAUUAUGAAUAGGAGAAUAAUUGAUUUGUGAGUUCCUGUGCUUGAAUUAGGGAGAAGAGAAUAAUUGAGGGAAAUACUGGUUACUCAUUUCAUUUUGAAAAGGCUAAGUUUCUAAUUAAAAAAUUAAUGCCCUUCUUAGUCAACUUGCCUAAAUAUCCUAGAUCUGCUAUUACACCUGCUCUUAUUUCUCCAGAUGGAAGAUUCAUUACUCCUUGGUUUUCUCCCUUUCACUUCAAACAGAUUGUCUUUCAGAUGUGCUCAGGAAGACUGAUACAUUAAAUUCUCCCAGUGCUGUCAGCAGUAGCUCCAUCUUAGAGUAGAAAAGAAAGACACAACCAUCCUUUUGUCAGAUGGAGACUUAGGAGAGAGGAAAAAAAAACAAAAAACAAAAAAA